rnacentral:rRNA from 1 species
AUUGAACGCUGGCGGCAGGCCUAACACAUGCAAGUCGAGCGAGCGGAGGACGGGUGAGGAAUGUAAGGGGAACUGCCUGAGGGCGGGGGAUAACUACAGGAAACGGUAGCUAAUACCGCAUACCAUAGGAUGUGCCCAGAUGGGAUUAGCUGGUAGGUGGGGUAACGGUUCACCUAGGCGACGAUCCCUAGCUGGUCUGAGAGGAUGACCAGGCAAACGUGAACGUGGACACGGUCCAGACGCCUAGGGUAGGAAGGAGUGGGGAAUAUUGCACAAUGGGCGAAAGCCUGAUGCAGCGAUGCCGCGUGUGUGAAGAAGGCCUGCGGGUUGUAAGGCAGUUUCAGCGGGGAGGCGUUACCCGCAGAAGAAGCACCGGCUAACUCCGUGCCAGCAGCCGCGGUAAUAC